rnacentral:rRNA from 1 species
UACGUAGGGUGCAAGCGUUGUCCGGAAUUAUUGGGCGUAAAGAGCUCGUAGGCGGUCUGUCGCGUCUGCUGUGAAAUUUCGGGGCUCAACCCCGAACUUGCAGUGGGUACGGGCAGACUAGAGUGUGGUAGGGGAGACUGGAAUUCCUGGUGUAGCGGUGAAAUGCGCAGAUACCAGGAGGAACACCAGUGGCGAAGGCGGCUCACUGGCCCGGUUCUGACGCUGAUGUGCGAAAGCGUGGGGAGCAAACAGG